rnacentral:rRNA from 1 species
GACGAGCCACCCAAACGUUAUUCGGAAUUACUGGGCUUAAAGGGUGCGUAGGCGGUGCAGCAAGUCGGGAGUGAAAUACCUCAGCUUAACUGAGGAACUGCUCUCGAUACUGCUGUGCUUGAGUGAGACAGAGGUAAGCGGAACUUAGGGUGGAGCGGUGAAAUGCGUAGAUAUCUGGAGGAACACCGGUGGCGAAGGCGGCAUCCUGGACCAACACUGACGCUGAGGAGCGAAAGCCAGGGGAGCAAACGGG